CGAAUUGCAUGCGCAGAUCUGGUUUAUCCAAUACAUAUUCAUCCGAAUAUUAUUCUGUGUACUGAUUUUAAAUUGUUGACUGAAUAUAAUCCAGCAAUUCAUCUAUCUGGUUUUUCGGAUGAUAUUCUUUUGUUAUACGUAUUUGUGAUCUGAAGAUUAUUGCAAUGUAUCGAUCUAUAUGAUUUGUUCCGUAUCUCAGUUCUGAAGAUAGGAUUCUGGAGUUUAUGAGUUUUUGUUUAUUCAUGUCAAAGAGUUGAACACUGGUUUUCCUGUUGUGUUGUUUUGGAGUGGGAACCAGUCCUUCCAAUUCGUCUCAGAAUCUGAAUUAUAACCGCUCCUUAAAAGUAAAUGAAACAUGCCUCGUUGCUUCGACUUAGGAUUAAUCAGUUCUAUCUAUCCAAAGUCCAGUUUGGUAAUAGGAUUGCUCAAAAUUGAACCAUGAAUGUGUUGUUCAAAUUAGUAAUAGGAUUGCUCAAAAUUGAACCUUGAAUAGUGGUGAAAUAAAUCUUUAAUGGCACAGUUGAAGCACAUGGCUAUGUUGUCUUGUUUAUGUGUUUCCUUCUGUUACCAUUUGAGUGUCUGGUAUAUACCAAUGAAUGCCUCAUCUCAGAUUGAUCUGGGGAAUUAUCAAUGUGUUUUUAGUUUAGGGUUAUUUUUAUCAAUUAUGGUAAGCCUUCUCUUUAGGUGAGGAUUUAUAACCAGGUACAUCAACGGAGCAACUUGAACAACAGACAGAAUUUCCGAUGAUGCCAUUUGGUGUUCAUGCUUAGUUCAGUUCUUGAAUUUUCAAAAUGUUUUUCAAGAUGUGCAAUUGCUUCUGUCUAAAGGAUGUAACUUUUUAAGAUUUUGUGUAUACACCACUUUAUUGGCGUAUGUUAUAGGAAGUGCACAGGAAUGCCAUCAAAUGCAUAUGCUUGCUUGAUACUUUGCAUCCUAGCUUUUCAUUUAGUAAUUUGAUUUCUUUGACUUGUCUCAUUAACAUACUCUACAUUUUCCUCUUUAAUGCAUCUAUUCUUUAAAGGUCUUAUCUGUUCUAGUUUUAACUUCUCCUGCGAUUUGGUUCUAAAGGUUGUUAUUUUGGGUGCAGUAAUGGCAACAGGUGGAGCUGCACCCGAACGAGGAACUGCUGCCGCUGCUGCAGCUAAUCUUCGGAGGAGGAGAACAG